CCUACGGGGGGCAGCAGUGAGGAAUAUUGGUCAAUGGACGAGAGUCUGAACCAGCCAAGUAGCGUGAAGGAUGACUGCCCUAUGGGUUGUAAACUUCUUUUAUAUGGGAAUAAAAUGUUCCACGUGUGGGAUUUUGUAUGUACCAUAUGAAUAAGGAUCGGCUAACUCCGUGCCAGCAGCCGCGGUAAUACGGAGGAUCCGAGCGUUAUCCGGAUUUAUUGGGUUUAAAGGGAGCGUAGGUGGAUUGUUAAGUCAGUUGUGAAAGUUUGCGGCUCAACCGUAAAAUUGCAGUUGAAACUGUCAGUCUUGAGUACAGUAGAGGUGGGCGGAAUUCGUGGUGUAGCGGUGAAAUGCUUAGAUAUCACGAAGAACUCCGAUUGCGAAGGCAGUUCACUGGACUGCAACUGACACUGAGGCUCGAAAGUGUGGGUAUCAAACAGGAUUAGAUACCCGGGUAGUC
rnacentral:rRNA from 1 species